GUAUGAGGUAAUGAUUAGGUAAUUCCCUAUUGGUUUGAUUGUCGAAAUGAUGUCAUACAUGUAUUCAUUCUAUCUGAUCAUUC